rnacentral:misc_RNA from 1 species
UACGUAGGUGGCAAGCGUUGUCCGGAAUUAUUGGGCGUAAAGCGCGCGCAGGCGGUCCUUUAAGGCCGAUGUGAAAGCCCACGGCUCAACCGUGGAGGGUCAUUGGAAACUGGGGGACUUGAGUACAGAAGAGGAAAGCGGAAUUCCACAUGUAGCGGUGAAAUGCGUAGAGAUGUGGAGGAACACCAGUGGCGAAGGCGGAUUUCUGGUCUGUAACCGACGCUGAGGCGCGAAAGCGAGGGGAGCAAACAGG